rnacentral:lncRNA from 1 species
AUGAGUCAUUUCAAGUUUAUCGAUAUUGUUAUCAACUUGACUGACACCAUGUUCAGAGGAAUUUAUAGGGGGGUUCAAAAGCAUCAAGAUGAUUUACAGGAUGUAACAGGGAGAGCUGUCGAGAUUGGUGUUAAAAAGUUUAUGAUUACAGGUGGAAAUCUACAAGACAGUAAAGAUGCACUGCAUUUGGCACAAACAAAUCAUAUGUUUUUCAGUACAGCUGGAUGUCAUCCUACAAGAUGUGGUAAAUUUGAAAAGAAUAACCCUGAUCUUUACUUAAAGGAGUUGCUAAAUCUUGAUGAAAACAAUAAAGGGAAAGUUGUGGCAGUAGGAGAAUGUGGACUUGAUUUUGACUGACUGCACUUUUGUCCCAAAGAUACUCAACUCAAAUACUGUGAAAAACAGUUUGAACUGUCAGAACAAACAAAAUUACCAAUGUUUCUUCAUUGUCGAAACUCACAUGCUGAAUUUUUGGACAUAAUUAAAAGAAAUAGAGAUCGGUGUGUAGAGGGAGUGGUGCAUUCAUUUGAUGGUACCAAAGAAGCAGCAGCUGCUUUGAUUGACUUGGAUCUUUAUAUAGGAUUUAAUGGUUGCUCACUGAAAACUGAAACUAAUUUGGAAGUUUUGAAGUCAAUUCCUAGUGAAAAAUUAAUGAUUGAGACAGAUGCACCUUGGUGUGGAGUCAAAAGUACACAUGCUGGAUCAAAAUAUAUAAAAACUGCAUUUCCUACCAAAAAGAAGUGGGAAAGUGGGCACUGCUUAAAAGACAGAAAUGAACCCUGCCAUAUAAUUCAAAUAUUGGAGAUAAUGUCAGCAGUGAGAGACGAGGAUCCACUGGAAUCAGCCAAUACACUAUAUAACAAUACUAUUAAAGUAUUUUUUCCUGGAAUA